CAUGUGCAAUCGCAUUGACCUCUGAUAAAAGUGGAUUCGUAACGUCUAUAUUUAUAACAUUGUUUUGUUGUGGUCUGCGCUCAGAGGAAAUAGCAAAGAUAAAUAAAGCAAUGUAUUUAGAAACCUGAAUAAUUCGAGAUGAUACAUAUAGUAUAUAAAGUCUUUGAAUGGCUAUUUUAUUUUAAAUUUAAUCAUCGUAUAUAAAUGAUCUCCUCUAAGAUAUUCUAAACUUCCAAAGACAACGACCAAUAACUUAGUCAAAAUUAUAGUUAGAAAUUUAAUGAUUAUGGGACAGAUGUGAUAAGAGCACUCUUCUAUUAAUCAAGGAAAACAUAGUUCUCAACACUAAAGUUUAUAAUGUGGUGCAUAUAUGACUAAAGAACUUAUUAAAAGCAUUUGGCUCGUUAUACCAUCACCAUUGACUGCAUUAGAAUGCCCAGAACACCUCUAAAAUAUAAUUUAUUUAAAUCGGGUAGAAAAGAUUUAUAAGUGGAUAAAAUCAAUUAUUCAAUUAUAUAUAAUUCAAAAUAAAACCAUCAACAGCCAAAAACUGUUGAUUACGUCAACCAAAAUCGUAAGAACAUCAAACUUAUCUUGGAAAUUUAAAGUUUUAAUAGCUGGAAAAGAGCCCCUAUAUUCAAGUAGCCGAAUUUCGUGUAGAGUUGCAAUUUGUAUUAAACAAGAAAGUUUUAAAGUGAAGCGGAAGAGAAAAAGGAAAAUAAGAAAAGAAAUAGAGCAGAAAAUGAACAAAAAUAAUGUAAUUGGAUACAGAUCUAUUCAGCAUAACAUUUUAAAAUUAAUUAAACAAAGAAUAAAUUGAAGAAAUCCCACCGCUGCAAAAUGUGGGAUUAUUGAGUUAAAAGAAUUAAACUUGCACAAAAAAUAUUAAAAAGUGACUAAAACAGCGAUUCAAUCUCUAAAUUAUAUUUCGAAUUUAAUGCCAGUUUGAAUCAAAAACGAAUCUCUUUCACGUCGUCAGGUUUCCAUUAGUAGUAGUGUUAUAUCGACAUUGGAUAUCGAUGUUUUAAAAAUUUGCAGUGUUUACGAGUGUUUGAUCAAUGUUCAAAAGCAAAAAAAGAACUUAAAUUUUCACGUUUAAACUCAAAUAAGACGUUGUAGAAUUCAUAAGGAUUCCUGUAUUGCAAUUAAAGUAGUUGCAAACUCUAA